rnacentral:rRNA from 1 species
GACGAACCGUGCGAACGUUAUUCGGAAUCACUGGGCUUAAAGCGCGUGUAGGCGGGCCGCCGCGUCGGCUGCUGAAAUCCCACGGCUCAACCGUGGAACUGCCUUGGAUACUGGCGGCCUCGAGGGAGGUAGGGGCAUGCGGAACUGUGGGUGGAGCGGUGAAAUGCGUUGAUAUCCACAGGAACUCCGGUGGCGAAGGCGGCGUGCUGGACCUCUUCUGACGCUGAGGCGCGAAAGCCAGGGGAGCAAACGGG